GGGGUUGUAGCUCAGUGGUAGAGCACUUGCCUAACAUUCGUGAGACACUGGGUUCAAUCCUCAGCACCA
rnacentral:tRNA from 1 species